ensembl:lncRNA novel transcript, sense intronic to NUSAP1
CUUGGUCAAGUACCAGCUCUCAUUUAUUUCUCUGCAACAUUAGAAAACUCAAACUCCUCUUCUUUAAAAUGGAAAUAAUAUCUGUUCUGCUGAACUGAGUGUUGUGAGCAUCACAUGAAGUAGGGAUUGUGAAAGUGACUUGUAAGCUAUAAAACACUGCUGAUGGCUGAUGGGAGUUGUCAUGGCCGCUUCAGACCCACAGCAAAGAUUUUUGAUAAGGCAUGACUCCUAAACGGAUGAAUGAGUGCCCCAUUAGAGCCAAGAUUCUUUUAUUCUUUUUGUUGUUGUAGUUGUUGAGACAGAAUCUUGCUGUCAUCCAGGCUGGAGUGCAGUGGUGUGUUCUCAGCUCACUGCAACCUCCAUCUCCUGGGGCAGGAGAAUCACUUGAAUCCGUGAGGCAGAUGUAGUGAGCAGAGAUCAAACCAUUGCACUCCACCCUGGGAGACAGAAUGAGACUCCAUCUCAAAAAAAAAAAA